GUUUGCUUUGUCAUGUGUUUUGCAAUCCAUGACAAAUGAAAUGACAAAUUACUUUACUAUCAUACAUGGCUGAUUGCAGUUCCAGUUUUCAGCUGUGGAUGUCACCACUGUACUAUUUGUCUGAGGCAGAACAUAUCAAUUAAACUGUGAAUAGCUUUCUCUCCCCGCACUCUGAUUCCUCUUCUGCAACUGGCCCUCGAUGAAUAGUAUCCUAGCAACCUACUUUUCUACCCUUACCUUUUGUGUCAAUAUACCCCACUCCCUAUAGCAUGUAAGCUCAUUGAGCAGGGCCCUCA